UUCUCUUUAUGACUUUUCGUGUUUGUGCAGAAUUUUCUUUUAUGUACACUCUUUAUUGAAAGUUGAAUAUCUCUUACCAUAACUCAGGAUUGAGCAAGGUUGAUGGUGCUGGAUUUGUAUGGUUCAUAUCUUGGUCGUGUUAUUUUCAUUUUCUUCAACGUUUGAGAGGUAUUUCGGAUAAAAUAAUUUCACGCAAGAGGGUCUAUUGUACAUUCUGAUGUGGUUGAAUAAUUAAAGGAAAGGAUACCUUCAAGGACGGGCUUCUAGACAAGAGGAUUCUAUCUUGGCAUAUCUCUUACAAUGUUUUGGUGAAUGCAUUCUACAAUUUCUUUAAAUAAAGGU